rnacentral:rRNA from 1 species
AGCUCCAAUAGCGUAUAUUAAAGUUGUUGCAGUUAAAAAGCUCGUAGUUGGAUUUCUGGUGUGAGGGAACGGUCCGACCUCUGGUGGGUACUUGCUUCCUCUCACGCCAUCCUUGAGUGGUGCGUUCUGGCAUUCAGUUGUCGGGACGUUAGCCGCUCAUCGUUUACUGUGAGAAAAUUAGAGUGUUCAAAGCAGGCUUAUGCCGUUGAAUAUAUUAGCAUGGAAUAAUAAGAUAGGACUUCGGUACUAUGUUGUUGGUUUGCGCACCGAUGUAAUGAUCAAUAGGGACAGUUGGGGGUAUUCGUAUUCAGUUGUCAGAGGUGAAAUUCUUAGAUUUACGGAAGACGAACUACUGCGAAAGCAUUUACCAAGGAUGUUUGCA